CCCCCUGGAGUCGACUCCAUUUCCCAAGAAAAUAUGUCAACAGCGCGACUUGUAACAAUUAUAAGGCCGAGGAGGGUUAUUUGAACACACACCAUUCAAUUAUUAUAAAUGAAAGUCACGUUUUUUAACCGCUCCGGUCUCGUCCCAGCGGAAGUGACGCUAGCACGUCAUCAGAAUACAACAGAUCAACACGACGAGAGAGACAUUCUGCCGCUAGACGAAGGUCACCGAGCAGCGACGAAGUUUGCAUUUUCGGUAGAGGUCCAGGGAGCCACGAGGGCGGUGCUAAAGAGACGCGGGUUGCUGACCCCCGGCCUACACCCUAGACUGGCCGCCAGUUCAUCACAGGACACAUGAACAAGCCUUCGCCCUCAAAUCAGAGAAAAAUGGCAACAGCAGAGGAUGGAUGUCCCAUAACAAGAAGGUGGAGAAAAAGAAGAAGCUUAUCGACUACGGUGUCGGCACGGACUACAAAGGCGGACCUGCACAAAUUUUCAGGUACCAGAAGGUAAGAAAAGUUUCUUUUGCAUAAUAUUGCGAAACAAAACACCAGAAAAUAUGUCUUACCUUAUACACACACCAUAAUAAUACUCCUAUGUUGAAGCACAGUACAAUCCAUCAAGCGGUGCAGUUUCAUAGCUGACCAAAGUCCUACUAAAACAUUUUGAUAGAUUUUUGAGCGCCGUGUGUAAUGUUCUAUAUUUUCAAUGGAGCAUAUACAAUGUUGGUGUUGUUUACUUGAGUCAUAUUGCGGUCUACACGAAAUCAAAUCAAAUCAAUAAUGGAGCAGCAUCUCCUCAUCCGGAAACAACCACACCGGAAAUGUGUCCCGUGAAAAACCGUUCAACCGGAGCUCUC